GACGAACGCUGGCGGCGUGCUUAACACAUGCAAGUCGAACGGAAAGGCCCUGCUUUUGUGGGGUGCUCGAGUGGCGAACGGGUGUGUAACACGUGAGUAACCUGCCCUUGACUUUGGGAUAACUUCAGGAAACUGGGGCUAAUACCGGAUAGGAGCUCCUGCUGCAUGGUGGGGGUUGGAAAGUUUCGGCGGUUGGGGAUGGACUCGCGGCUUAUCAGCUUGUUGGUGGGGUAGGGGCUUACCAAGGCUUUGACGGGUAGCCGGCCUGAGAGGGUGACCGGCCACAUUGGGACUGAGAUACGGCCCAGACUACUACGGGAGGCAGCAGGGGGGAAUAUUGCACAAUGGGCGGAGGCCUGAUGCAGCAACGCCGCGUGCGGGAUGACGGCCUUCGGGUUGUAAACCGCUUUCGCCUGUGACGAAGCGUGAGUGACGGUAAUGGGUAAAGAAGCACCGGCUAACUACGUG
rnacentral:rRNA from 1 species